AAGAGCCGGACAAGCAUAUUCUUCUAGCUUGAAAGAUAUACAUCUGGUGAGGUUAGGAAGAGAUUCUGCUAAUGCUCAGAUCAAAACACAAACUGAAUAAUGGAAUAAUCGAAUCACAGAAUUAUAGAACAGGAGAAUCAUAGAAUAAUUUGGAUUGGAAGGAACCUUAAAGAUCACCUAGUUCCAAGCCCCCUGCUAUGGGCAGAGACACCUCCCACUGGAUCAGGAUGUCCAAAGUCCAAUCUAAUUUGGCCUUUAACUCUUCAAAGGAAGGAGCAUCCACAGCUUCUCUGGGAUGGAUCUAUACUGGAAGCCGUGUGAAUCCCCUUUAAUUGGAUCCCUAGAAAAUCC
ensembl:lncRNA